rnacentral:rRNA from 1 species
UACCAGCACCCCGAGUGGUCGGGACGUUUAUUGGGCCUAAAGCAUCCGUAGCCGGUUCUACAAGUCUUCCGUUAAAUCCAGCUGCUUAACAGAUGGGCUGCGGAAGAUACUAUGGAGCUAGGAGGCGGGAGAGGCAAGCGGUACUCGAUGGGUAGGGGUAAAAUCCGUUGAUCCAUUGAAGACCACCAGUGGCGAAGGCGACUCUUUGGCCUGUAACUGACGCUGAGGCGCGAAAGCGUGGGGGAGCAAACAGG